rnacentral:misc_RNA from 1 species
CAAAGGUAAAAAAGGUAGGUAAAGGUCAAAAUAUGUUGCUUUGAUGAUGGUAAUAAGCAGGAUGAUGUUGUGGGAAAUAUAAUGGUGCCCCAAAAAAGUUUUCAGAAAGGGAGGCAGUGGCUAGGAAAUGUAUCGCAAGUGGUCUAAUCAGCAGUUAUUUCUUUUUAUUAGCUGUGAUAGUUAUCAAGAAGCUCAAAAUUAAAGCCUUACAUUCCUUUCUUUCACCAUUUCAAACCUUAUACAAUUUUUAACUUACUAAUUGAUUGGUUUCAUUUGUUACUCGUAGUGUCCUUUUGGCUUUUGCGCAAACUCAUG